CAAAGCUGAUCCUGGCCUCCUGCGGAGAAGCCUGAGCGCCUUCCCGCAGACCUGACGCGACCCCCUCCCAGGUACCUGGGCCUCGGCCUGGUCUAGCGAGUCCCCUUCCUCCCAAGGAGCAGCCGGCGGAGCUCGGGUGGAGGAAAGCGAGGAGGCGACCAGGAGGAUGCCGCCGCCGCCGCCGCAGGGCCCGGGGCUUCUGCAGGGCGCAAGGCCUCCCUCACCAGGGUAAGGGGCUGGCGAUCAACCUGGACGCCUGGGACCUUGGGAGCAAGCAUCCCGCAGCCGAGCAGGCGACGGCGCGGCCACCGCCUAGAGAGGAGCCGGGGCCCGGGGCGGCGUGCGGGUCGGCAGCAGCCGGCUUGGCCUAUCCGAAACCCCAGGCCUGGAAGCGGCUGCUUUAGGCGUCAAGUUGAGCGGGGUAUGUGUGUCCUCUUGGGAAAAAGGCAGAAGAAAGAAGCGGAGCCGAGCCGAGCCGCCGAGUCCCUCCCCCCGGAGCCCCGGAGCCCCGGCGCCUGCCUGGGCGGUCCCGGCCGCGCAGACAGAAAAGAAGCCGGGAAUCUGCGGGGCUGGGGGGCGGGGAGCGACACCAAAGGCCAGAAACUGCAGCACGGCCCGAGGCCCUGGCGAGCUGGGCCUGGGGGAGGAGAAGUCCCUUCCCAUUCCAGCUCGAUCAAUCUUGCUGGGCUGCGAUCGGUCAAUAAAAACGGUGUGAAGCGGCCGCUGUCGCUGUGAGUCUGGGGAGGAAGUGGAGGCCAAAGGUGUCGAGGCCGGCGCCAGUACCCCGCACCAGCCGGGUCCGCGGCCCCGCGGUCUGCACGUCGCAGGCCGGGGGCCAGAGCUUUGCCGGCAGCCGAGAGCGGCCCGGCGGGGCCUUUAAUUGGGUGUCUCCAUUUUAAUAGAGGCCAUUGUUGGAGCAAUUAGAGAAAGACAAUAACCGCCCAGAGACGUUUAAUUCGAUUCCCUGCGCCCGCCGCAGUACGCACCGGGGCGCUCUGGAAGAGUGGCCGAGGCUGCGCGGAAGGGAGGGUCCGCUUGGGGAGGCGCCGGCUUCUUUCCUUGCUUGCUUUGCCUUCGGUGUGGGAAUUGUAAAGGGCGACUGGGGCAAGAUGAAAGCGGGGCGAGGGCGACCUGAGCCAGGCCAGGGCCGGCCUCUCUAGCCCACGCCGGGCGCCCGCGGGACCGCCGCGCCUUUCGCGGCGCGCGUCCAGCUGUGGCCGCCGCGGAGGUCCCCAGCGCCUGUUCAAAGGAGAGAAGCCGGAGGACCGGGCCGUGAAAACUGGCCUCCUUCCUCCUUAGCCCCGGGUCCCCAUUUCUGUCACCCGAACCAUGUCCAUAUUUCCUUCCCUAUGGUGGGAGGAGGGGCAAAGGAGAGAUCCCGGGUAUUGGAGCGCGCACACCUCCGUCUCCAACCCAGCCAGCCUCACCGCCCCCUCCUCCGCCUCGGCCCCUGGAUUAGGUUACCCUGGCCGCGCAAGGGUUUCUACUGGAUAGGACUAUAGCACAGGUAAAGCUGUAUAAACAGCUCGCCGGCUGCCGGGCGGGAGGGUUAUGCCGGGGACACGGCUCCAGGCGCCGCCGCUGGCCCCGGCUGCGCGGGCCACACCGCGGGGAGCCCGCUGCGGCAGGGCGCCCCGGACCGCGCAGGUUAAAUACAUAUUAUCUCUGUCUCUGCCACUCGGGCCCCCGUUUUCUUUCCCUUGCGAGCUGAAAUGCGGAGAGCGGGGAGCAAGACCUAAACGGGAAGAAAAGGCAGUCGGGCAGUGGGCAAUACUGGUUGAGGAUCCCGGCCCAGCAAGGCUGGCUCUCUUCAAACAAAACCCAGAGAGCAGGGAACUUGGGGGAAAGCAGAGAAAGAGGGACCCUAAAACUCACUGGCAAUGGGAAGAUGAUGGAGGCGGGUGCGUCCAAGGGGCAACUCUCCUCGCGGCUCCCACGCCCACGCGCCCCGGGCCAGGAGUCUACCUUCCCCGUGAAAUGAGCUAUCGUUUUGGGGAUGGUAUGUGAUUUGAUUUACCCUUUUUUCUUUUCCUUCCUUUAGUUCUUUUUUCUUUUUCUUUUUUCUUUUUUUUUCUGUUUGUUUGUUUGUUUUGCUUAUUCAUCGAUCACCGUUUAAAACUCGGAAGGAAACCCGCCCAGGCCAGGAGAGCCGCGAGCCGUGGGGAGAGUCAAAAAAGAGGAGAUGCGCUGGGAGAUUCCCCCCGCCCCCGCACUCCGCCCCCAGCCCGGCCCCGGCCUCCACUUCGAGGGAUCCUGACCCUCCCACCGCCACUACCACCUUUUCCCCGGUUGAGAAAACCCCUGAUUGUAGCGAGAUAAAAAUUGGAGACCACCUGGUGAAAAAAAAAAUCCAUGUUUGUGCCCGACUCAGAGGUGCAAAGGAGGAGGUUUGGCAUGCGCACCCUUCUCCCGGCCUCCCUUGGUCCCGGACUGCCCCCUACCCGCAGCCCCUCCCUCCGGGCAGCUCAGCUCUAGGCUGCCUUCCACCUCGCGGACCCUAAGCAAUUUGUUAUAUAAAACAAAACAGCAACCAGACGCAUGUGCCUGUUCUUCACUAACGCCAGCAGACCGGCAGCGACGGAUACCCGGUGGACCUCAGCCGGGACGCCUCGGGCAGCAGCUUCUUGCCCGCUGCCGCACCCACCUCUGCACCCCAGCUCGGGUCAGCCCAGCAGCCAAAGCAAAAGGGGGAUUCCUCAGUUUGCUCCCUUGGAGGCUACAAAGCCUCUCUCUGGUUAUUCCAACCGUUAAGUAAAAAAGAGGUGAUGGGAAAGAUUUGGUCUGCACACAAAGAUAUACCAGGAGAAGAAUGCACAUUUAUGUGUAAAAUGGCUUAGGCACCAAGAAUGAGACAUCACUUCAGUGCAGCCUAGAAAUAGUUAAAAAUAACCGAAUGCUAGAGGACAGAGGUGGUUUUGGGAUCUGCCCCACACUCCUUAUCAGGAUCCCUAAUUCCCUGCCACCUCCUAUGGUUCCAGGACGCAAACUGCUUUAACCUCCAGAAGAGGGGUUUUCAGCCACCUGGCUCCCACCUACCUGCCGGUUCCCCAGGCACUCUGUGUGACCCAGGGCAACUGGACAACCCAAAAGAAAACCCCUACCAAACAAUGCUCAGGGCUUCCCACUCCCAUCCCUUCUCUGCGCCCCUGACUGUCCCCACCUCGUUUAUCUUCUGCAAGAAGGCAGGGUGUAAAUGUCAAAUAAAGAAAAAUGCAGCUUGCCAGAUCUCCUUGCUUUUGGUGGGGACAGAAUAGCCCCAGUGCUGGGGCUGGCAGAGAUCUCUUGUGCAGAGUGGAGGAUGGGCCCGUGGAUUGCAGCCGCUCCGCAUUUUCUAAGCCCUGCGGCUUCUUGGGCCAGGGACUUAAGGCUUUACGGGGCAGCUGGCUGGGAGCUGCAAGCAGGGCCUCCUGCUUGAUCCCACCGAAAGACUCCAUAAUCAGACCCCCUAUGCGACCCGACACCCAAUGGGGUCUUGGUCUGAACUGACACCACGCCCCGACUGGGUUCAAAUGGGUAGAAAACAAUUCCGUUCUUCUGAAUGGCACAAACAUGUCAUGGUAAGCCCCUGACACACACACACACACACACACACACACACACACACACACACACUGCCAGCCAUUUGGGCCCCCAAGCAUCUCAUUUACAGAUGCCUGGAUGGACUCAACCUGCCUGGCUAGACCCCCAGCCCACCCACUGCUACUACCACUACCUUCUCGGCAGCAGCCGCUAGGCAGAGGAGGCUUUGGAAAUGCUACUUCAACAUGGAUCCCUUUAAAGUUCUUAAUCUCCCAUCUGCGACCCCAGCAUCCUGGUGAGCAUGGACAAUAGGGAGGAGAGAAGGACCAGGAAAUAUGGGAACGAAGCCGAGGGAGAUGCCGCACUUUCCCCCCUGCCCUUGCCAGAAUCACCGGUGUCACUUUCCUCAGGCACCCUGUUGGUGUCCGAGAGAAAGAAAAGGCAUGUAAAGCAGCUGUCCUGCCCAGAUUCACUCCACUUCCUUGACAUUUUAACAAUAUCUGUCUUCAGGGGGGAACUGCCUCUGAGUGACUUUUUGGAGGUCUGUUGGUCUGCUGUCCCGGGAGUUAAGUCCAAAUCUUGUCCUCUCUGCCCCUUCCGCUUCGGAUGCCCCUGGGCACCCUCUGGGGAGGCUGCGGUUUUCUCACCCACCUCAGGGUGCUCCUGGAAGCAAAGAAGCCUCCGGACCCCUAGCUUCCCGGGGGUAUGCCAGAUGCAGACACAUCUGGGUUCCAACUUUAUCUUACAGAGCAGAGCUGUUUCUUUAAUUAUAUGCAGAGACAAUGAGCCUCAACACACACCUUUAAACAGAGGAAAAUAAACAUGAAAUUGACACUGAAGCCACCUUUAGAAGAAGGCUCCUGGGCACAGGGGUUGUUUUCCCCAAUCCUCUGCCCUCCUUGCAGUGGGAAACGUGUCUCCGGCCCUUUCCAAGCAUUCCCACGGGCUCUCAUUCUUCCGUUGGGUUUUUCUUCACAUCCCUACUUCUACCAGCUCUUUCCUGCAAACGAGGACAUCCACACACUCACACACCGUACCCGCCCAAGGUCACCACAGAAACCCAGAGAUUUCCAGUGACCAAAAAGAACAAUAAGAACUGGGUUCUAGUUUAGUUUCUUUCAGAGGGAGUCUGCCCUUUGGAGAGGAGGCCUCCUCCUAAUUCUCUCCACGUGGAGCGGGCAGAGGGAGUGCGGAGUUAGAGAGGGAAGAGAGUGAUAUUCACUGACCUGGGCAGCUCGCUCCCGAGGGCCAGCUGUUUUUUAUUUUUUUUCCUGACUCGCCCGGAGAUCUGAAGGCAGAAAUGACAGGCAGAGUUCGCCACUGUGGCCGCCGCUGCCGUCCUGGCCGCUGGAACUGCUCACCGCAUCUCAGGCGGGCUUCCAGCGAGAGGAACAAAAGCCACCUCAACGCAACAGGCUUUACUGGCUGCCUCUUACAGGAUGGAUUUCAGAAUCCAAGGCUGUACGGGGAGUCCCCUCCCAACCACUGACAGCACCAGAAUCUCCCGGCUUCAGGAAGUGGAAGGGGCAGGAGUCAUUGGUAAUUUGCUCUUUAAGCUUUUUGUGCCUGUUGAUUACUUUCUGGUUGCUUGGAUUAAACAAUCGUUGCAAAUAUGCAAAACAGUGAGAGGAGAUUCAUACAUAUUCGUUCUCCAAUUGUUCCUCCUGACGUCAGAUCAUAAUUUCCUGGUAAUUGGAUGGCUUGCACCGACUAAUGCUCUCGUCUGAAAUUCUCCACCUUUCCCUAGCUUGCAGCAGAU
rnacentral:lncRNA from 1 species